rnacentral:rRNA from 1 species
CAGCAGCCGCGGGAAUACAGAGGGUGCGAGCGUUAAUCGGAUUUACUGGGCGUAAAGCGUGCGUAGGCGGCUUUUUAAGUCGGAUGUGAAAUCCCUGAGCUUAACUUAGGAAUUGCAUUCGAUACUGGGAAGCUAGAGUAUGGGAGAGGAUGGUAGAAUUCCAGGUGUAGCGGUGAAAUGAGUAGAGAUCUGGAGGAAUACCGAUGGCGAAGGCAGCCAUCUGGCCUAAUACUGACGCUGAGGUACGAAAGCAUGGGGAGCAAACAGGAUUAGAUACCCCCGUAGUCCCUGUCUUUAUACC